AUUGAACGCUGGCGGCAUGCCUUACACAUGCAAGUCGAACGGCAGCGGACCUUCGGGUGCCGGCGAGUGGCGAACGGGUGAGUAAUAUAUCGGAACGUACCUUUCAGUGGGGGAUAACGUAGCGAAAGUUACGCUAAUACCGCAUAUUCUGUGAGCAGGAAAGCAGGGGAUCGCAAGACCUUGCGCUGAUUGAGCGGCCGAUAUCAGAUUAGCUAGUUGGUGAGGUAAAGGCUCACCAAGGCGACGAUCUGUAGCGGGUCUGAGAGGAUGAUCCGCCACACUGGAACUGAGACACGGUCCAGACUCCUACGGGAGGCAGCAGUGGGGAAUUUUGGACAAUGGGCGCAAGCCUGAUCCAGCCAUGCCGCGUGAGUGAAGAAGGCCCUGUGUAAGUACGUACUUCGUCCGGUAC
rnacentral:rRNA from 1 species